UGUAGUGAAUGUUUCCCUAGUGUAAGAUUUUAGAAGUUUUGUGAUAGUUUUUCUCCAGUUUUAAUUGUUUCUUAGAAGGGAGAUUUUGAAAAAGGGCUGAUCAUUUUUUAAGUACAAAAUGUCAAGCUUUUUUUAACAUGAAGACAAGUAGAGAGGUGAAAUUAAAUACAUGUAAGUCAUUAUUCCACCACUGACAAAUUGUAAACUUGCUGGUGUUUUCCUUUCCUAUGCAAGAAUUAAAACCCAGGAAUAUACUGUAUGAGUUUUGUGCACACAUGUUUUCACCUAACCUUAGAUCAUAAACAUUUCCAUGUCAUUAAAAUUUCCCCCAAAACAAUAGUGACAGAGAAACCUUGCUACAGGAAUAGAGGAGAGGCAACAAGACCAUUGGUCUAGAGUCUGCGAUCUGAGUGUCUUGGCAAUGACAAUUUGCUGAGAGUCAUUGACCCAGGCAGGGUGUUAACCCCUCUGCCUCUGAGAGAGCAGACAGGAGCUCAUAAUUCUGAGUCUUGGCUUGCAUUCUUCCUGGAUUAUGACACUGUCAUCAUAUUUGAUAGAGAUGUCACUUAAGAAGUGAUAACCUGUUCAUGAGAAGUGACACUCGGAAAGGAACUGUUUUAGCUAAAGAAACAAUGAGAAAAUAAUAGAAACAAUGAGAUGCUGUGUCAAUAAUCUCUAGUUAAGUUUGGAAAAGAGAUUUUAGAAAGAGAAUUUUUAGUUCUUACACAUAUUUAAAAUUGGACUAGACUUUGGGACUCAUACUAUUCUUGUAGUCAUGACUUUAUUUUAUGGACUCUACCCUUCCUCCGUCCCAUGACCAACCAAACUUUCUUGUAUUUUGGAAUGAAGUCUAACUUAAUUAAUUAUAUGUUUUUGGUGAACAGUCCCUGAUCUUUCCUUAUUUCUAGAGUUGAAUUUUGGAUUUGUUCUCAUUCAGUGGUUUCCUAGGAGGAAGUCUCAUGGAUUAAGACAGACCGAAGCCUUGAAGCUGAGUGUGAGUUCUGUCCUGACUCAGCCAUUCCCCUCUGGGUGACCUUGGACAGUUACUGAGCUCUCCAAGCCCAGGUUUCCUAGUGCAACAGCAAGAAUGACUGUAAAGCUCUUUAUCUUCCUGCUACCUCCCAGAUUAUUUUGAACAUAAAACAAAGUGAUAUAAAUGAAAGGACUUAAAGCACCAGUGUGUACUUGUCAGGGUGAUGUGGGAAACCUGAGCAUCUGGUGUCUGUUUAGGGAAUUCCUUUCCUGAGAGAACCACUCCAGAGCAGGCAGUUGUUUCUAGACAAGGUUGACUCCCAAAUUUUACUUUGUUUGCCUUAAUUCACAUGCUAGGUAGCUACUCAUACUUCAGGGCCUAUUGCCCCUGCCAGUUUCCAUCCUCAGCAAUUCCAGUAUACUUUGGAAAAUAAUGUGCUAAGCCUGGAACAGAGAAAAUUUUAUGAAGAAAAUGGAUUUCUUGUUAUUAAAAAUCUAGUAUCUGAUGCUGAUAUUCAACGCUUCAGGGUUGAAUUUGAAAAAAUCUGCAAAAAGGAGUCGAAAGCAGCAGGACUAUUGGUCAUGAGAUGUGUCCCUUGAAAAAUCAGGAUACAUUCCAAGUGAGAAACCAAUCUUGAAGGUCCAGAAUUUCCAUGAAGAUAAGGAGCUCUUCAGAUACUGCACUCUCCCAGAGGCUAGAGACUGCUCUUGUUUUGGUUUC